rnacentral:rRNA from 1 species
UUUUAGGUCGGGUAAUUGGAAUGAGUACAAUUUAAAUCCCUUAACGAGGACCUAUUGGAGGGCAAGUCUGGUGCCAGCAGCCGCGGUAAUUCCAGCUCCAAGAGCAUAUAUUAAAGUUGUUGCAGUUAAAAAGCUCGUAGUUGGAUUUCUGGUAUAAUGCGCCUGGCCCGCGGCUAUUUAAGCCUGUGAGUGCCGGUGUGCGUUUGCCAUCCUUCUAGAAAACGUUUCUACCCUUAACUGGGCCGGACUCGCGAUCUAGAUCUUUUACUUUGAAAAAAUUAGAGUGUUUAAAGCAGGCUUUUGCUAUGAAUACAUUAGCAUGGAAUAAUAAUCUAGGACUUCGGUUCUAUUUUGUUGGUUUCUAGUACUGAAGUAAUGAUUGAUAGGGAUAGUUGGGGGUGCUAGUAUUGGCCGGCCAGAGGUGAAAUUCUUGGAUUCGGUCAAGACUAACUUAUGCGAAAGCAUUCACCAAGGAUGUCUUCUUUAAUCAAGAACGAAAGUUGGGGGAUCGAAGAGGAUCAGAUACCCUCGUAGUCUCAACCAUAAACUAUGCCAACUAGGGAUGGGUGAAAGUUGCAUUUUCGACUUCAUCCGCACCUUAUGAGAAAUCAAAGUCUUUGGGUUCCNGGGGGAGUAUGGUCGCAAGGCUGAAACUUAAAGG